AGCAGCCGCGGUAAUUCCAGCUCCAAUAGCGUAUAUUAAAGUUGUUGCAGUUAAAAAGCUCGUAGUUGAAUUUCGGGAUUGGCGCAUCGGUCGUGCCUCACGGGGUAUGAACUGGUGCAGUCAAUUUCUCACCUUCUGGAGAACCGCGAUGUCCUUAAUUGGAUGCCGCGGGGAACCAGGACCUUUACUUUGAAAAAUUAGAGUGUUUAAAGCAGGCAUUUUUGCUUGAAUACAUUAGCAUGGAAUAAUAAAAUAGGACGGCAUGAUUCUAUUUUGUUGGUUUCUAGGACCACCGUAAUGAUUAAUAGGGAUAGUUGGGGGCAUUAGUAUUCAAUUGUCAGAGGUGAAAUUCUUGGAUUUAUUGAAGACUAACUACUGCGAAAGCAUUUGCCAAGGAUGUUUUCAUUAAUCAAGAACGAAAGUUAGGGGAUCGAAGACGAUCAGAUACCG
rnacentral:rRNA from 1 species